CUACAGCGAGAUCCUGGACGCCACGCUGACCAUCACCGUCACCAUGCGGACGCUGGACCUCAUCGACGAGGCCUACGGCUUUGACUUCUACAUCCUCAAGACUCCAAAAGCCGAUAUGUGCUCAAAGCUCGGGAUGGAUUUGAAGCGAACGAUGCUGCUGCGACUUGCACGGCGGGAUCCUAAACUGCAUCCCGAUGAUCCGGCCAGAAGAGAGGCAAUCUAUAAUAAGUACCAGGAAUUUGUGAUCCCAGAAGAGGAAGCUGAAUGGGUCGGCUUGAGUUUAGAAGAAGCAAUAGAAAAACAGAGGCUCCUAGAAAAAAAGGACCCUGUCCCACUCUUUAAGGUGUAUGCUGAAGAGCUCGUCAGCCAACUGAAAGAAAAGGCACUGCAGAAGCAGUAGAAGGAAAGAAACCUUAGGAGCAAAAACCCCUGCUGCAGAUCAAGCUGGGGGGGGUUCAGUGAGUCUUCUGUCUGAACCACGUUGUGUGGAAGAGGCCGCGUGAAGAGCGUGCCCAGGAGCACCUUGCAGUUAUCAAAGUUUAGUGACAGCCUAAAUUCAGUGAGGAACCAUUCCUGUGGGCUGAGGAAAGAAUUUCUGUCCUGUGGCCUCUGAAAGCGUUCUUUUGUGUGGUGCUGAUCUUUCGGGGAGAGCUCUGGCUGUACGUCCUCCCAGGCUGCACUGCUGGUAUUGCCUGUCCUUGAAGUUGAUUCUGGUCUUCAGCGCUGCUCAUCGUGCAUGCCCAUUCUGCAGGAUCUGCUGCCUUGGGAAGGUUUGCUGGGUGCCGAGGGGUAGCGGGAGCUUUCGGCUGGACCUGGGGGAGAGCUCCUGUCCCGCUGAGGGUGGGGGGUGCUAAUGGGGACACUGCAAGAGUGCAAUAGGAGCUGCAGGAGCUUCUCCAUGGGGGAAGCUACUGGGGAUGUGGUUAAUCCUGACUUCUGAGUUGGAGUCCUCCAUUCUGUCAUCCUGCCUUCGCUGUGAAACC